GGCUCUCCCCACCCAGCGCUGCCUCAGCCCCGGCGGCAACCGCCGCCUCGGCCCAGCCGCCCGCCCCUCUCAUGUGACCCGCGGAGGGGCGGGGGGGGGAGGCAGGGCCCGGCCGGCUCAGUGCCACCGCGGCCGCGGGGUCGCCGGUCCCCGCCGUGCUCUCUCCUCCCCUCCAGGGGCGGCCGUGCCCCGGGGUGCCAAGAGGCUUCCGGCCGCCUUCUGCUUUUCGGUGUUCCAGGCUCGGCGCCCCGCAUGAGUUCCCUGUGGGCAGCGAGUGGUUGGGGAGCGGGAGGACCCGACCCGCCGGCAGCUACCUGGGCGCGGCGGUGGGAAGCCUUACUUUCCCCUGGUUCUUGGGUCAGGUGCUGGAGAGCUGCUGGGCGCUCUUCCCACGAAAAAAAGUGCCACUGUGGCAUCAGGCUGGAUGUCAGUAUCUCACACAGGGAAGUGGAAUAACACAUCUUGCUAUUGGAAGGAAGAAUCUUUGAAGUCACAUUUAAGGAGGCAGUCAUCGUGGAUGCAGGUAGUCCCAUUUCUUGUGUUCAGUCGAGACAUCGCUAAUUGGCAAGACCGGCUUAUUGUGACUGUGUUAGACUUGAUAAGAAGGAUUUUGUAGUUACUUUUAAGGAAAUGACUUACUGAAAAAAAAAACACCCAAAUAUUGAUAUGCUGGUAAGAAUAUAUUCUUAAAGAAAAUAGGUAUAUCUUUUGAAGAAUAUAGGUAUAUCUUAAAGAAUGUAGAUGCAUCUUAAAGAAUAUAGAUGUAAUGGGCUAUCUGGUAAACUAAACUAUUUGGUUGAUUUUAUUGCUCAAUUAAAUACACAGCUGGGAAAACGUUGCAAGAUUUUAAUUUUCUGAGACAAUGUCUUGUUGAUUGCCAAAGUCAUUGAUACUCAGACAUUGUAUUAAAGAUUGGUUUUGUUUAAAUUCUCAA